CCUACGGGAGGCAGCAGUGGGGAAUAUUGCACAAUGGGGGAAACCCUGAUGCAGCGACGCCGCGUGAAGGAAGAAGUAUUUCGGUAUGUAAACUUCUAUCAGCAGGGAAGAAAAUGACGGUACCUGAGUAAGAAGCCCCGGCUAACUACGUGCCAGCAGCCGCGGUAAUACGUAGGGGGCAAGCGUUAUCCGGAUUUACUGGGUGUAAAGGGAGCGUAGACGGCAGUGCAAGUCUGGAGUGAAAGGCGGGGGCUCAACCCCCGGACUGCUCUGGAAACUGUACGGCUGGAGUGCAGGAGAGGUAAGUGGAAUUCCUAGUGUAGCGGUGAAAUGCGUAGAUAUUAGGAGGAACACCAGUGGCGAAGGCGGCUUACUGGACUGUAACUGACGUUGAGGCUCGAAAGCGUGGGGAGCAAACAGGAUUAGAUACCCGAGUAGUC
rnacentral:rRNA from 1 species